rnacentral:rRNA from 1 species
GCAUAUCAAUAAGCGGAGGAAAAGAAACCAACAGGGAUUGCCCUAGUAACGGCGAGUGAAGCGGCAACAGCUCAAAUUUGAAAUCUGGCCCUCGGGUCCGAGUUGUAAUUUGUAGAGGAUGCUUUUGGUGAGGUACCUUCCGAGUUCCCUGGAACGGGACGCCAUAGAGGGUGAGAGCCCCGUCUGGUUGGAUACCGAUCCUCUGUAAAGCUCCUUCGACGAGUCGAGUAGUUUGGGAAUGCUGCUCUAAAUGGGAGGUAUAUGUCUUCUAAAGCUAAAUAUUGGCCAGAGACCGAUAGCGCACAAGUAGAGUGAUCGAAAGAUGAAAAGCACUUUGAAAAGAGAGUUAAAAAGUACGUGAAAUUGUUGAAAGGGAAGCGCUCAUGACCAGACUUGGGCUUGGUUGAUCAUCCAGGGUUCUCCCUGGUGCACUCUUCCAGCUCAGGCCAGCAUCAGUUCGCCGCGGGGGAUAAAGGCUUUGGGAAUGUGGCUCCUCCGGGAGUGUUAUAGCCCACUGCGUAAUACCCUGUAGUGGACUGAGGUUCGCGCAUCUGCAAGGAUGCUGGCGUAAUGGUCAUCAGCGACCCGUCUUGAAACACGGACCAAGGAGUCGUCUUCGUAUGCGAGUGUUCGGGUGUUAAACCCCUACGCGUAAUGAAAGUGAACGCAGGUGAGAGCUUCGGCGCAUCAUCGACCGAUCCUGAUGUUCUCGGAUGGAUUUGAGUAAGAGCAUACGGGGCCGGACCCGAAAGAAGGUGAACUAUGCCUGUAUAGGGUGAAGCCAGAGGAAACUCUGGUGGAGGCUCGCAGCGGUUCUGACGUGCAAAUCGAUCGUCAAAUAUGGGCAUGGGGGGCGAAAGACUAAUCGAACCUUCUAGUAGCUGGUUUCCGCGA